rnacentral:rRNA from 1 species
GGGCUCAACCUGGGAACUGCAUUUGAGACUGCCAGGCUGGAGUUUGGCAGAGGGGGGUGGAAUUCCACGUGUAGCAGUGAAAUGCGUAGAGAUGUGGAGGAACACCGAUGGCGAAGGCAGCCCCCUGGGCCAAUACUGACGCUCAUGCACGAAAGCGUGGGGAGCAAACAGGAUUAGAUACCCUGGUAGUCCACGCCCUAAACGAGUCAAUGGUGUUGG